UUCCGGUUGAUCCUGCCAGAGGUUACUGCUAUCGAGGUUCGACUAAGCCAUGCGAGUCGAAUGUAGCAAUACAUGGCGUACUGCUCAGUAACACGUGGACAACCUACCCUUUGGACGGGGAUAAACCCGGGAAACUGGGUAUAAUACCCGAUAGAUCUGAGAAGCUGGAAUGCUCUCAGAUUGAAAGCUCCGGCGCCAAAGGAUGGGUCUGCGGCCUAUCAGGUAGUAGUGGGUGUAGCGUACCUACUAGCCUACGACGGGUACGGGUUGUGAGAACAAGAGCCCGGAGAUGGAUUCUGAGACACGAAUCCAGGCCCUACGGGGUGCAGCAGGCGCAAAAACUUU
rnacentral:rRNA from 1 species